rnacentral:rRNA from 1 species
ACACAUGCAAGUCGAGCGGUAGCACAGAGAGCUUGCUCUCGGGUGACGAGCGGCGGACGGGUGAGUAAUGUCUGGGAAACUGCCUGAUGGAGGGGGAUAACUACUGGAAACGGUAGCUAAUACCGCAUAACGUCGCAAGACCAAAGUGGGGGACCUUCGGGCCUCAUGCCAUCAGAUGUGCCCAGAUGGGAUUAGCUAGUAGGUGGGGUAACGGCUCACCUAGGCGACGAUCCCUAGCUGGUCUGAGAGGAUGACCAGCCACACUGGAACUGAGACACGGUCCAGACUCCUACGGGAGGCAGCAGUGGGGAAUAUUGCACAAUGGGCGCAAGCCUGAUGCAGCCAUGCCGCGUGUGUGAAGAAGGCCUUCGGGUUGUAAAGCACUUUCAGCGGGGAGGAAGGCGAUAAGGUUAAUAACCUUGUCGAUUGACGUUACCCGCAGAAGAAGCACCGGCUAACUCCGUGCCAGCAGCCGCGGUAAUACGGAGGGUGCAAGCGUUAAUCGGAAUUACUGGGCGUAAAGCGCACGCAGGCGGUCUGUCAAGUCGGAUGUGAAAUCCCCGGGCUCAACCUGGGAACUGCAUUCGAAACUGGCAGGCUAGAGUCUUGUAGAGGGGGGUAGAAUUCCAGGUGUAGCGGUGAAAUGCGUAGAGAUCUGGAGGAAUACCGGUGGCGAAGGCGGCCCCCUGGACAAAGACUGACGCUCAGGUGCGAAAGCGUGGGGAGCAAACAGGAUUAGAUACCCUGGUAGUCCACGCCGUAAACGAUGUCGAUUUGGAGGUUGUGCCCUUGAGGCGUGGCUUCCGGAGCUAACGCGUUAAAUCGACCGCCUGGGGAGUACGGCCGCAAGGUUAAAACUCAAAUGAAUUGACGGGGGCCCGCACAAGCGGUGGAGCAUGUGGUUUAAUUCGAUGCAACGCGAAGAACCUUACCUGGUCUUGACAUCCACAGAACUUACCAGAGAUGCUUUGGUGCCUUCGGGAACUGUGAGACAGGUGCUGCAUGGCUGUCGUCAGCUCGUGUUGUGAAAUGUUGGGUUAAGUCCCGCAACGAGCGCAACCCUUAUCCUUUGUUGCCAGCGGUUAGGCCGGGAACUCAAAGGAGACUGCCAGUGAUAAACUGGAGGAAGGUGGGGAUGACGUCAAGUCAUCAUGGCCCUUACGACCAGGGCUACACACGUGCUACAAUGGCAUAUACAAAGAGAAGCGACCUCGCGAGAGCAAGCGGACCUCAUAAAGUAUGUCGUAGUCCGGAUUGGAGUCUGCAACUCGACUCCAUGAAGUCGGAAUCGCUAGUAAUCGUAGAUCAGAAUGCUACGGUGAAUACGUUCCCGGGCCUUGUACACACCGCCCGUCACACCAUGGGAGUGGGUUGCAAAAGAAGUAGGUAGCUUAACCUUCGGGAGGGCGCUACCAC